rnacentral:lncRNA from 1 species
UAGCGGCACACCAUACAUACAUUGUUUUCCGCACCAAGAGUUAUUCUGGGAUUUUGUACUCUAACCUUAUGGUUGUUUCUAUGUUUUGGUUUUCAUUCACGACAUAUGUUUAUGAAAUGAUAUGAUCAAACAAUGUUUAUUCACAAGUGUUUUCCAAAGUAUUGAUUUAAAAAUGAAAUUUUUGGACGUGAAAAUUGGGUCGUUACAAGAGCCUAGGCUUGUUUUCUUUUUAUACUUGCAAAUUUAGCUGGAAAUUUGAAUUUUGUUGCCGUUUGGACAACGGACUCGGCGAGUACAUCAGGUGACUCGACGAUUCCAUGCCUUAAAAGUGUUCAAAACGAUCCAACUCGCCGAAUUGGUUCAUGCACUCGACGUGUUGGUCCCCCAGACAGCAUAUAUUCGACUGUUUUAGCUGGAAUUGGACUAGGAACAUUACCCUAAGAUGUUUUUGGACUUAUAAACUUGUNCUAGGCUUGCUUUCUUUUUAUACUUGCAAAUUUAGCUGGAAAUUUGAAUUUUGUUGCCGUUUGGACAACAGACUCGGCGAGUACAUCAGGUGACUCGACGAUUACAUGCCUUAAA